UACUUACAAUUAGUCAGAGCCCGUUAAUGGGUGAUGGCGUACAUCUUGCAGUAUGGACCGGCGAGUUAUGUUAACAUGCGAGGUUAAGUGGAAAAAAACGGAGCCGCAGAGAAAUCGAGUCUUAAUAGGGCGUUUAGUAUGUUGAUAUAUACCCGAAACCAUGUGAUCUAUUCAUGAGCAGACUGAAGCUUGGCUAACCCCAAGUGGAGGG
rnacentral:rRNA from 1 species